rnacentral:rRNA from 1 species
AUUCCAGCUCCAAUAGCGUAUAUUAAAGUUGUUGCAGUUAAAAAGCUCGUAGUUGGAUUUCUGGUAGGAGCGACCGUGCCGAACUUGAUUGUUCGUGUAUUGUGUUGUCUUCAGCCAUCCUCGUGGAGAACUUUUCUAACAUUAACUUGUUGGGAUUGGGACCCGCGUCGUUUACUGUGAAAAAAUUAGAGUGUUUAAAGCAGGCAUUAGCUUGAAUACAUUAGCAUGGAAUAAUAAGAUAGGACUUUGGUACUAUUUUGUUGGUUUGCAUACCAAAUUAAUGAUCAACAGGAACAGUUUGAGGAUAUUCGUAUGAACAUGUCAGAGGUGAAAUUCUUGGAUUUUGAUCAGACGAACUACUGCGAAAGCAUUUAUCAAGGAUGUUUUCAUCG